CCUACGGGAGACAGCAGCAAGGAAUAUUGUGCAAUGGGCGAAAGCCUGACACAGCGACGCCGCGUGGGGGAAGAAGGCCUUCGGGUCGUAAACCCCUUUUCUCAGGGAAGAAUAAUGACGGUACCUGAGGAAUAAGUCACGGCUAACUACGUGCCAGCAGCUGCGGUAAUACGUAGGUGGCAAGCAUUAUCCGGAUUUAUUGGGCGUAAAGGGGGUGUAGGCGGUUCAGUAAGUCGGAUGUGAAAUCUCCCCGCUAAACUGGGAGGGGUCAUGCGAUACUACUGGACUAGAGGGCAGCAGAGGGAGGUGGAAUUCCCGGUGUAGCGGUAAAAUGCGUAGAGAUCGGGAGGAACACCAGUGGCGAGGGCGGCCCCCGGGGCUGUUACUGACGCUGAGACCCAAAAGCGGAGGGAGCAAACAGGAUUAGAUCCCCUGGUAGU
rnacentral:rRNA from 1 species